rnacentral:rRNA from 1 species
AUUGAACGCUGGCGGCAUGCCUUACACAUGCAAGUCGAACGGUAACAGGUUAAGCUGACGAGUGGCGAACGGGUGAGUAAUACAUCGGAACGUGCCCGAUCGUGGGGGAUAACGCAGCGAAAGCUGUGCUAAUACCGCAUACGAUCUACGGAUGAAAGCAGGGGAUCGCAAGACCUUGCGCGGACGGAGCGGCCGAUGGCAGAUUAGGUAGUUGGUGAGGUAAAGGCUCACCAAGCCUGCGAUCUGUAGCUGGUCUGAGAGGACGACCAGCCACACUGGGACUGAGACACGGCCCAGACUCCUACGGGAGGCAGCAGUGGGGAAUUUUGGACAAUGGGCGCAAGCCUGAUCCAGCCAUGCCGCGUGCAGGAUGAAGGCCUUCGGGUUGUAAACUGCUUUUGUACGGAACGAAAAGGUUCUCUCUAAUACAGGGGGCUCAUGACGGUACCGUAAGAAUAAGCACCGGCUAACUACGUGCCAGCAGCCGCGGUAAUACGUAGGGUGCAAGCGUUAAU